UACAGAGGGGGCAAGCGUUGUUCGGAAUUACUGGGCGUAAAGGGCGCGUAGGCGGCCUGUUAAGUCGAACGUGAAAUCCCCGGGCUCAACCCGGGAACUGCGUCCGAUACUGGCAGGCUUGAAUCCGGGAGAGGGAUGCGGAAUUCCAGGUGUAGCGGUGAAAUGCGUAGAUAUCAGGAGGAACACCGGUGGCGAAGGCGGUUCUCUGGGCGAUUACCUGACGCUGAGACGCGAAAGCGUGGGGAGCGAACCGG
rnacentral:rRNA from 1 species